UCUCACCUCCUGCUGUGGGUCUCACCUCCUGCUGUGGAUCUCACCUCCUGCUGUGGAUCUCAUUUCCUGCUUCAUCCCUCUUCAGUGGCUUCUCUGUAUCUCUCUCACGCUCUGGUUUGCACUCUGGGGUUUUGCUGGGUCUUGGGGUCAGUGCAGUUUUCCUGUGCUCUGAUGCUCACCUAGCCCCACUUUGGGUCUCUGCUCAAUGCAUCGUGUAUACCUGAAGGUCUUCCAACUUUGGCUUUUGGGAAUUCAGAUGAUGUCCAGAUCUUUGUGCUGUUUACAAACUGAGGUUCAGAGCAUGUCGAUCGUCUGACGCCGUCACUGCAGGAGGCGUUGGGGACAACCGUGGCUCUCUUUCCCCUUCUGAGUGGCAACCCACCAGGCUGGAGAAGCCGGAGAACAUCGAGCUUUGACUCUGUCUUGUGUGUGACAAGCACCGGCCUUUUUCCAGAGAUAGGUGACAUGUGUCAAGGGGUUCAGACCCAACCCACGGUCGUGCUGAUGAGGACACAGCCGCUUCUCGGCCCACAUGCCCGUUGGCCGCUGUCCCCACGGACCCUGGUUUUGGACGACACUCACUACUGAGCCAGUCAUUGCCCGCGCAGCCUCUUGGGCAGAUGUGCCAACCCCGCGCCCAGUACUCACUCCUCUAAGAUGCAGCCUCUGCUCCAGUCGGCCUGCAGCCAGCCCAGGGCUCCCGGACUCAGCCAGGGCCUAGGUCCACACUGCUGCUGCCAGAGCCGGUAGUGACAGCCACACUUCCGAACCCAGGCCCAGGCCAUUUGGACUGUCCAUGGUAAGGGCAGGAAAGGGCCUCCUGGGAGAGGGCGCGGGUGUAUCUCAUGGCCUCCAGAGCACUGCCCACUCUCUGCCCUGGCCUCCCGCCCGUCCCCACUCAUGUUUGCACGGCUUCUUCUGGGGCCUGUCGUCUGUGCAGGUGACCGCACACCGCGGCACCAAGGCCAGCUCUCCUCCCCCGCCCACCUCUACCGCCCACCCAUCUGGAUUCCCACUGUGACCUCCGCGGCCCUGACUGGGACCUGGGCUCCCCUGUGACCUUCGAAGGCUAACGCCAUAAGUAACCAAUUGUCUCAUAUCCACUUUGUACCCUGGAAAUAUUUUCUAAGAUAACAAUUAGAAUUUUGUUGUUGUU